GACAGAGGGUGCAAACGUUGUUCGGAAUUACUGGGCGUAAAGCGUGCGCAGGCGGUGAUGUAAGACAGAUGUGAAAUCCCCGGGCUCAACCUGGGAACUGCAUUUGUGACUGCAUCGCUGGAGUGCGGCAGAGGGGGAUGGAAUUCCGCGUGUAGCAGUGAAAUGCGUAGAUAUGCGGAGGAACACCGAUGGCGAAGGCAAUCCCCUGGACCAGUACUGACGCUCAUGCACGAAAGCGUGGGGAGCAAACAGG
rnacentral:rRNA from 1 species